GACGAACGCUGGCGGCGUGCCUAAUACAUGCCAGUUGAGCGCUGAAGGUUGGUACUUGUACCAACUGGAUGAGCAGCGAACGGGUGAGUAACGCGUGGGGAAUCUGCCUUUGAGCGGGGGACAACAUUUGGAAACGAAUGCUAAUACCGCAUAAAAACUUUAAACACAAGUUUUAAGUUUGAAAGAUGCACUUGCAUCACUCAAAGAUGAUCCCGCGUUGUAUUAGCUAGUUGGUGAGGUAAAGGCUCACCAAGGCGAUGAUACAUAGCCGACCUGAGAGGGUGAUCGGCCACAUUGGGACUGAGACACGGCCCAAACUCCUACGGGAGGCAGCAGUAGGGAAUCUUCGGCAAUGGACGAAAGUCUGACCGAGCAACGCCGCGUGAGUGAAGAAGGGUUUCGGAUCGUAAAACUCUGUUGGUAGAGAAGAACGUUGGUGAGAGUGGAAAGCUCAUCAAGUGACGGUAACUACCCAGAAAGGGACGGCUAACUACGUG
rnacentral:rRNA from 1 species